rnacentral:rRNA from 1 species
AGAGUUUGAUCCUGGCUCAGAUUGAACGCUGGCGGCGUGCUUAACACAUGCAAGUCGUGCGAGAAAGGGGGCUUCGGUCCCUGAGUAGAGCGGCGCACGGGUGAGUAACGCGUGGAUUAUCUACCCAGAUAUUCGGGAUAACGGCGGGAAACUGCCGCUAAUACCGGAUACGCUCCAAUUUCGGUUGGGGGAAAGGCGGCCUCUGCUUGCAAGCUGUCGUAUCUGGAUGAGUCCGCGUCCCAUUAGCUUGUUGGCGGGGUAAUGGCCCACCAAGGCUACGAUGGGUAGCUGGUCUGAGAGGAUGAUCAGCCACACUGGAACUGAAACACGGUCCAGACUCCUACGGGAGGCAGCAGUGGGGAAUAUUGCGCAAUGGGGGAAACCCUGACGCAGCGACGCCGUGUGAGGGAAGAAGGCUUUCGGGUCGUAAACCUCUGUCGGGAGGGAAGAACCUUCCAGGUCUGAACAAGGCCUGGAACUGACGGUACCUCCAAAGGAAGCACCGGCUAACUCCGUGCCAGCAGCCGCGGUAAUACGGAGGGUGCAAGCGUUAAUCGGAAUCACUGGGCGUAAAGCGCGCGUAGGCGGCCUUUUAAGUCGGACGUGAAAGCCCUCGGCUCAACCGGGGAACUGCGUUCGAAACUGGGAGGCUUGAGUCCUGGAGAGGGUGGCGGAAUUCCGGGUGUAGGAGUGAAAUCCG